UACGGAGGGUGCAAACGUUGCUCGGAAUCACUGGGCGUAAAGCGCACGUAGGCGGCUCGUAAAGUCGGAUGUGAAAGCCCUGGGCUCAACCUAGGAAGUGCAUUCGAAACUGCCGAGCUUGAGUACGGGAGAGGGUUGCGGAAUUCCCGGUGUAGAGGUGAAAUGCGUAGAUAUCUGGAGGAAUACCGGUGGCGAAGGCGGCAUCCUGGACCAUUACUGACGCUGAGGCGCGAAAGCUAGGGGAGCAAACGGG
rnacentral:rRNA from 1 species